AGUGAACGCUGGCGGUAGGCCUAACACAUGCAAGUCGAACGGCAGCACAGUAAGAGCUUGCUCUUACGGGUGGCGAGUGGCGGACGGGUGAGGAAUACAUCGGAAUCUACUUUUUCGUGGGGGAUAACGUAGGGAAACUUACGCUAAUACCGCAUACGACCUACGGGUGAAAGCAGUGGAUCUUCGGACCUUGCGCGAUUGAAUGAGCCGAUGUCGGAUUAGCUAGUUGGCGGGGUAAAGGCCCACCAAGGCGACGAUCCGUAGCUGGUCUGAGAGGAUGAUCAGCCACACUGGAACUGAGACACGGUCCAGACUCCUACGGGAGGCAGCAGUGGGGAAUAUUGGACAAAGGGCGCAAGCCUGAUCCAGCCAUACCGCGUGAGUGAAGAAGGCCUUCGGGUUGUAAAGCCCUUUUGUUGGGAAAGAAAAGCAGCAGGUUAAUACCCCGCUGUCCUGACGGUACCCAAAGAAUAAGCACCGGCUAACUUCGUG
rnacentral:rRNA from 1 species